UGGAUAACUGUGGUAAUUCUAGAGCUAAUACAUGCCGACGGGCGCUGACCCCCCUCGCGGGGGGGAUGCGUGCAUUUAUCAGAUCAAAACCAACCCGGUCAGCUUCCCCCCGGCCCCGGCCGGGGGGCGGGCGCCGGCGGCUUUGGUGACUCUAGAUAACCUCGA
rnacentral:rRNA from 1 species